GACGAACGCUGGCGGCGUGCCUAAUACAUGCAAGUAGAACGCUGAAGGAAGGAGCUUGCUCUUUCUGGAUGAGUUGCGAACGGGUGAGUAACGCGUAGGUAACCUGCCUGGUAGCGGGGGAUAACUAUUGGAAACGAUAGCUAAUACCGCAUAAAAUUGAUUAUUGCAUGAUAGUCAAUUAAAAGGUGCAACUGCACCACUACCAGAUGGACCUGCGUUGUAUUAGCUAGUUGGUGGGGUAACGGCUCACCAAGGCGACGAUACAUAGCCGACCUGAGAGGGUGAUCGGCCACACUGGGACUGAGACACGGCCCAGACUCCUACGGGAGGCAGCAGUAGGGAAUCUUCGGCAAUGGACGGAGGUCUGACCGAGCAACGCCGCGUGAGUGAAGAAGGUUUUCGGAUCGUAAAGCUCUGUUGUAAGAGAAGAACGAGUGUGAGAGUGGGAAGUUCACACUGUGACGGUAUCUUACCAGAAAGGGACGGCUAACUACGUG
rnacentral:rRNA from 1 species